AAAUAUCCUGGGGCCCAUUUUAAAAAUCAAGCUUAAAACAAAACUUCAGCAAGAUGAUGACAGAGGGUAUAUGAAGAGAUGAAAUGAAAGGCAAGUGGAGAAGGUACAGAAGCUUGGUAGGAUGGAGAGUCUGGCAUCAAAGAUGUUCCCAUCAAGAGAGAAACAUUUAAAAGAACAAACCACAACAUAGGAGCAAUGUAAAAAAGCAAGAUACGAAGGGAAGCUGUGUAGUUGUCUGCAAGUGAAGGUGGUUGUUCUGAAAUACCAGUGAGAGUGUCAGUAGCACUGUCAGUAUGUCCUCUAGGAACCAGAAGCCAAUGGACCUGAAUGUGGAUCUGAACAGCUGCAUAUCAGGCAUGCAAAAGCUUUUCCUGCUUCAUCUGGCAAUAGUGUUUUGCAGCAGGGAACUAGGAGUGAGAGAAGGAUGCAGAUCAGUCCCUUGUCUCUCCCAUGCCUCAGACUCCUUGGAAAUACAGAGAACUCUUAUUUCUGUCUUUACUGUCAUGCUCACUUGUCCUUUUAACCACAGAAGUCUGGAGAAGAAAAACUGAAGUUUUGGUUUCUUAAAACAAAAACUUCAAGAUUUAUUCUGUGAUUUCUCUUUAUAUGUAGAGAUCUUAUCUGCACUCUUAAUGUUGCAGACUUCCACUAUCAUAUAUCUGUAAUUGGUUUCAAUAUAAUUUAGUUGUCGCGAAUGUUGCUAUGCCUGAUUUCUCCUCCGAUUAAUGAUAGUGCAAACCUGUUAUUUUUAUCUUGAAAUGCAUACAUAGAAUGGAGGCUGGGUGACACCCUCCCUUCAUGUGUAAUGCUGUUUAAUUUACUCAGUUGAAAUGCAUUUUUGAGAAAGCAGGUGUUAUUAUAUUCUUCUUUAUUUCUUUCUGACUUGUCAGUGAUGACAGAUGGGAAAUAUCUUCCUAGUAGAUUUCUAAAUCUUGUGCUCUAAGAGAUAAAUAUAUUGAAAUGGUGAUUUCUGUCAAAAUUACUUUAAUCUUAUAGGGCAGGACAAUACUCUUUGGCUUUCAUUCCUACCUCCCCUUUUACUCCAUAAUUUGUGUUUUAUCUUGUGGUCUGAAUAUAAAAGUAAUGGACAUUUCUGAAAUGAUCGGUAAAAUCCGAAAUGAUUCCUGAAUUGUAGUGGUUGUUGCUUGCACAAUAUCAAUAUCUGAGUUCUUCCUUUUCCUGAAUGAUCUUGCUGUUACUGUGAAUUUAAAAUAAUCUUGUUUAUUUUGCUUGUGUUUCAUUUACUUUUUUUCUUUCUGCAAGGUUCUGCAGUUGUGAUUAAAUGCUUGCUUUUUUUUUUUUUUUUUGUGGUAGCAGGCAGCCAGUGAAAGCUAGUAAGUGUCAGGCAUAUAUGCCCUUAGUGCUGUCAUCCUCAUCAUCCCACCAGCUUCCUUUCCACCACCUUACCUUAUUUAUUUAUUUACUUACUUAUUCUGUGACACUUGUACUCAGCUUUAUUUCUGUUUAAACAACUGGUUAUUUGCUUGCUCCUUGGUCGUUGUUAUAUAUUAUAACUACUUCUGAGGUCAUUAGUAUUGUAGUUCAUUCAUU
rnacentral:lncRNA from 1 species